AUCGAUCCCGUUUAUUCCUAAACAAAUCGUCGCAUCAAACGGAUCGGAAGUGCGCGUGUGAACUUGGGCUGCGCAGACCCAAUUACGCGCCCCCGCUUCCCUUGGAGCGGGGGUAGUAGGUCGUGGGGGCUCCGAACUGACCGGACGACAUCGUGCUCGCGUGCCGUUGGGGGAAGUGGGUCUACGCAUUCCCACACUACCGGAAAAGAAAAUUAUUCAGAGGAAAAAUUGUGCAAGUGAUAAAAGAGCCAGAGUUGAUUCCAGAAAACGGAAACAGAAAACAAGUGUUGGAAAAUUAGUGGUAGUGCUUUUUCAUAAAAUGGUUUAGUUUAAGCUGUGUAGAAAAUUACACAAAAAAAGUUUAUUGGUAAUAAAAUGUGAGCAUCCUGAUCGUUGGGAAACCAGAAGGAGUAUCAACUUUUAUGGAUCUUAACUUCGAUUAAAACAACUUCAAAUAUACACAAUUCUAUUAAUCCGCUCUCAACGUCCCGUAUGCUGUUCUCAGGAAAAGAACGGCAAGAUCGAGAGAAACGCGUAAUUAUCGGAAUAAUCAUUUCAAGAACCAGGCAGCGGCUGACCAGCAAGCGGAUACACGUCGUUAAUUGAGAAAAUUUUUGGUGUUUUUCUGAGACACUCACCAAAAGGCAGAUGAGCUAACCCAGAUCGGCUGCCAUUCUAUCGAGCUAGUAAUGGAGGCCCCCGGUAAACGACUGGUUCAAGGGCCCGCUAAUAGAAAAAUGGGAUGUAUUCUUGGACCCUCAUCAAAUGCCGUUUCCCAGAGGAAUUCAUUACACCGUGGAUCGUAGACUUUCAACCAGACUCAGAAGCCAUUUUUUCUUUCAACUACAUAACUAGAACGUGGUAACCUAAAACCCGAGGGGACAUUAAGUUGUGCUUCGAGGGUAGUGUUAUUUUGAACCGGCAAAUUUAUUUCGUGGUUAAACUUUUUUUUCAAACCAGUUGGAUUUAGAUUUUCCAAUUUCAACAAAUACCGAACUAUCCAUUGCAAUUUCGUCACUAACAUCUGAUGGAAAUUGGGAAGCGUAAAUUAAACAGUUUAUUAAAUUAAGCAUACACCACGAAUUUUUUUGAGAGUAAAAGUAAUAUUCUUUAGAAUUAUGAGCUGUCAAUCAGCAGAUGAGAACAAAAUCUGUAGAUAGUGAACUGCUUAAUUAAUUCCUGAAAAAAGGUAAUUCACAGAAUAACAGCGAAAACUGUUAUUUGUGAAGAAAAAGAUGACGAUACCACACGACUAUGAUAACACAGGCGAGGAAAACUAAUCUAACUUAUCAAACCAGAAUUUGAGCGAGGAACUUUCACUAAGAUCUAUUGAAGGAACAUUUGAUGCGAGGAAAAACAAUAAUUUAAGGCAAUCUCCUAACCGUACUGAAAAUCAAAUUCAUAGUUAUAGCAAGAGCAAUUUCAAAGGUGUACAAUUUUAUGUGUAAAUGAGCGAGGAACCGAUUGUUAAAGAAAGUUGCUAAAUGCAACAAAUUUUCACGAGUUAAUAGCGUAGAACACACUAUUUUGAGCCACUUAGACACAUUUGUAAUAACGAUGAAAUUAAAAACAAACACAAAUUCUA